UAUAGAGUUCUGCAAAAAUCAAUCUGAGUCCUGGAAAAGUCCUGGAAAUUUGUUUCUGAAAAAGGUAUAAACCCUGUAUAUAUUCAAAGAUGCUGCUCCCAUGAAGUACUCUCUUUUAAUACUACCAUUGAGAGCUAGAGCUGAGCUGACAAAUGAAAUUAUUUUUGCUUUAAUAGGUAUGGUGUAAAGGAAUUUCUUGUUAUUCAUCCAGCUGAGGAUACUGAAGCUGUCGAUAGUGAAUCCAAGUGUCAUCUUCUUCUUAGUUCCAUUGGGAUUGCUGCCACUAACUCCAAAUGCACAGUUCCCAUGUUUGCCCAAGUUCUUCAGCGAUGGAGAAAGAUUUACAUUGGACUCUGUAUUGGAGGCGGAUUUCGCACAGUAUUUGAGAUUUCUCACCUGCGUCAUGUCCCUGCUCAAUACAGACAUUUAGCUGGACUUCUUGAAAUCUUCAAGGACAAAUUGGCGUGUCCAAUUUCUCCUGUCCCACCUGUCACAUUAACUGUUCGUUUUACUUACAUACUGGAUGAGUGGACAGAUUAUGCCUGGCCACAAGAGCCCCCUGAUCUGUCGUCAUGUUUGGAGUGUAAAGUCGGAGUAAACAACCUGGGAACUUUACCUUUUGGGGCAUGUCAAGAUCCAAUAAGGUACAUGUAAGCUAAUUGAAAUCUGGGGGGACACUCUAUAAAUCUUUGGGUAGGGGUGUUCUGCUGGGACAUUGUAACCCUUUUUGUAUACAAGAACAUGAUCAGCUUGAUUUUGCAACCCUAUACUAGACCAGGUGGUAUCCAGUCGUUUCACCGACAAGUUGUUUCGCCAACGACUCGUUCGCCAAUGUCUUAGGUCGAUUCGCCAAUGUCCUAAGUCACUUUGCCAACGUCCUACUGGUCAAUUAGCCAACAUCUAAAUAAAAGUUUACCUUCAGUUUUUGUGCUUGUAAAUAUGACACUAUAUAUUGUAAUACAAUUGCUGUUGUUACUUACUUGAUGUUCCAUUUUACUUCUAACUCGAUUAUAGGGCUGGAAAAUGAAAACAAACU